CUGCCGGAGGCCACUGCUAUCGGAGUUCGAUUAAGCCAUGCGAGUCGAGAGGGGAAAGCCCUAGGCGUACUGCUCAGUAACACGUGGAUAACCUGCCCUGCGGUGGGAAAUAACCCCGGGAAACUGGGGAUAAUGUCCCAUAGGCUACGGAUGCUGGAAUGCUCUGUAGCUCAAAGAUUUAUCGCCACAGGAUGGGUCUGCGGCCGAUUAGGUAGUUGUUGGGGUAACGGCCCAACAAGCCUUUGAUCGGUACGGGUUGUGGGAGCAAGAGCCCGGAGAUGGAUUCUGAGACACGAAUCCAGGCCCUACGGGGCGCAGCAGGCGCGAAAACUUUACAAUGCGGGAAACCGUGAUAAGGGAACUCCGAGCGUCCGUAAAUGCGGACUGUCCGUAUGUUUAAAAAGCAUGCGAAGAAAGGGCCGGGCAAGACCGGUGCCAGCCGCCGCGGUAAUACCGGCGGCUCGAGUGGUGGCCACUAUUACUGGGCUUAAAGC
rnacentral:rRNA from 1 species